CUUCAGCCAGGUUUCUGCCUCCCAAGUUCAUGGGCAUUUGCUGCCCUACUUAGCUAUUGACUCAGAGAUGCUCUGAGGUCUAGUCCAAGGCCUUGGGAAGGACAGUGCAGAAGUACUUUUUCCUGUGGUGCCCUACUCCAUCCCACAUGAUCUGCCUGUGGCUUCAUGACCCUGAGGAUCACAGUGUGCCUCUCUCUCAUCUAUUACCAGAAGUAGAAUUAGAAUGGAAUAAGAGCUUGAAUCCAAGGAAUGGAGUAAGGGGCAGAAAGGUUGUAUUUUCAGACCAUUGCUGGAUUAAUGGGAAUCAUAUUUACAAGUUACAUAGGCUCUAUAGAAUUUAACAAAAAGGGCAGCAAGAGGGCCUGACUGGGUAGUUGCUGUGCCCCUGCACCCAGCUAAGGCUUUCUGUGUUGAUCCUGAAGAGGGAGUUGAAAAUCCCAGAGCAGGGCCUGGUGGUGCAUACCUGUAAUCCCAGAUCCCAGGAAGACCUAAAGUUCAAAGACAGCCUCAGCAACUUAGUGAGGCCCUAACCAACUCAGAGAGACCC
rnacentral:lncRNA from 1 species